GGAUGCUAAAUAAUUACUGUAAUGUCCAACGCGACAUCUAGACUUAAAUAGAUUAACCAAUUCUUUAACACCCCUGCGGUUGACAGAACUGCUCCCUCUCACACUCUCUUGAGUGCUGCUCAUUUCCGCUUACUCAUAUUGUACUGUUAUCUGAAAUAUAUGCACACUCUUAUUUGAACCACGAAGACAACUAGACUCGCGUCUUUAUUACGUCCGAAAGCGAACGUUUCAACUGGCGACGUAGGUAAAUUAGAAAUUUCAAGAAGUCUUUUUGCAAUUAUUGAAAGCGUGAACAAAUCGGCGGAUUUUUAUUUCGGCGUAAGUGGUUUUUGCGUGGAGAGAGAGAGGGAAAAUCUCUUGCUUGGCGGUGGCUCAAAGUGCUAUCGCGGUGGUGCAAUUCAACAUCGACGGCAGCGUCGGCGGCUGAGCAAAACCGCUGGUGGUGCUGUUGUAGUGGUGAAAGUUUCUUUGACGGCGGCGUCGGCGGCUGAAGUGAAACCGCUGGUGGUGCUGUUGUAGUGGUGAAAGUUUCUUUGACGGCGGCGUCGGCGGCUGAAGUGAAACCGCUGGUGUUGCUGGUGGUGGUGAUAUUUUCAUCAACGAAGGCGGCGGCUGAAGCAGAGCUGCUGGUGAUCGUCGGCGGCGGCAAAGCAAGGCCUGCUGCGCGGUGUGGUUGGUGCGGAUUAUUUUUGAGAACAAUUUUGAGGAAUUUUGACUCCGUCUGGACGAAGACGUGUAGUUUUGUACUGCUGGCCAACGAGAUCAAAGGAUGUCUUUGACGGCUACCACCGAACCUUAUUUACCCGGUUCAAUUCCAUUUAGUCAAUACUUGGAACAACUGGAGUGGA